UCAUUUGCCUUUCCAAUAUUGCUGUAGUUUUAUGAUCACCCUUGUACCCGAUAAUCAACAGCUCUUCGCUUAUAGGCAAGAAGAGAGGACACUCAGGCUGAUUAGCAGAGUUUUUUUCUUUGUUCCUUUUUUCCCCUCUCAAGUCAUAAUGACCUAAGAUCAGAGCCCUCUGAUCAUUUAUGCUGCUACCUUAGGAUCCAGUUUCAUUCUACAACUGGCUGAAGCAUGAAAUGAACUAAAAUAAACCGAAUUGAAUGGAACUGAACUGAACUGGAAUAAUGCGAUUUCCAGUACACUCGACGCCUUAAGGACCGAGAAGCUACCUCACCCACCGUCCUCCCAGAGGUCCCAGCGCCAAUGACCAACCCAGUCAAGACUCAGUGCAUGACUGUUGGGUGUAACCUACCCUGGUUUUACCAGGGCUGAAAACACCGUGAAUUGCAUUAGAGAGAACUGUAAGCUAAUUGCCAAAGCACAUAACGUCAUCCAAAUAUAUCUUUAUUUCAGUCAUACCUGAGGAAACAAAAUUUAGACAACAAGCCAGAAAGGAAAUGGAAGGACUUGAAUACUGAACACCAAUUUCCCCUCGAUUCACCUGCUUUCUCCUUCCUCAUCCCGUUCGUCCUGUCUUCUAUUCCCAUCCCCAUAGUUUUUCUAGUAUUUGUUGGAUGUUUACUACAUGCCCGGCAGCGUGCUAAGCACUUUCCGUGCAUGGUCACAUUUGACCCUCACGGUGGCGCGCCAGCAAGAGGAGUAAAGAGACUCGCUUAAGGCCACCCCACCGUCAAUUCUGAGCCACGUUCUGUUCAAGCCUAAUCUCCAAAUCUCUGAACCCACAUCAUUAUUUACUGCACUGGUGAAAUAAUGAAGUGGAGGCAAUACUGUUGGUAUACAAACUAGCUGCAGAUUUACAAGUAACUAAGUAGGAACUCUCCAGAAACCCAGCACAGCAGUUAGCACUAUUUCUGUCUCCUCCUUCAUCCUGGUAGUCUUGUAUAUAUCAUGCCUCCUAGGAGGCAUGAUAUAUACAAAUAGUCUUGUAGUCUAAUACAUGUAUUUAUUAAG